GUUCAUUGGACUAUAAUACCCAUUCCUCUUGAGACAGGGAGCGGUUUUUCACACUCAUCACUCAAGAAUGGUCCACCACGCAAAGGACAUACAGCCAACUUGACACAAUUAUGGGAAGCAUUGGAGUCGACAUGGGCCAGCAUCCCUGUGGAACGCUUUCGACACCUUGUAGAGUCCAUGCCCUGGCGAAUUAAGGCUGUUCUGAGGGAGGGUGCAACUCAAUAUUAGGACCUGAGCCCUAGGACCAUGCCCCAGGACUACCUGACAUGAUGACUCCUUGCUGUCCCCAGUCCACCUGGCCGUGCUGCUGCUCCAGUUUCAACUGUUCUGACUUAUUAUUAUUCGACCAUGCUGGUCAUUUAUGAACAUUUGAACAUCUUGGCCAUGUUCUGUUAUAAUCUCCACCCGGCACAGCCAGAAGAGGACUGGCCACCCCACAUAGCCUGGUUCCUCUCUAGGUUUCUUCCUAGGUUUUGGCCUUUCUAGGGAGUUUUUCCUAGCCACCGUGCUUCUACACCUGCAUUGCUUGCUGUUUGGGGUUUUAGGCUGGGUUUUUGUACAGCACUUUGAGAUAUCAGCUGAUGUACGAAGGGCUAUAUAAAUAAAUUUGAUUUGAUUUCCCCCCCCUCAUCAAUCUACACCUAAUACCCCAUAAUGACAAAGUGUCAU
ensembl:lncRNA